CCAGACUCCUACGGGAGGCAGCAGUGAGGAAUAUUGGUCAAUGGGCGGGAGCCUGAACCAGCCAAGUCGCGUGAGGGAUGACGGCCCUAUGGGUUGUAAACCUCUUUUGCCGGGGAGCAAAGUGCCGCACGUGUGCGGUUUGGAGAGUACCCGGAGAAAAAGCAUCGGCUAACUCCGUGCCAGCAGCCGCGGUAAUACGUAGGGGGCAAGCGUUAUCCGGAUUCACUGGGUGUAAAGGGAGCGUAGACGGCGACGCAAGUCUGGAGUGAAAGCCCGGGGCCCAACCCCGGGACUGCUCUGGAAACUGCGUCGCUGGAGUACGGGAGGGGCAGGCGGAAUUCCUGGUGUAGCGGUGAAAUGCGUAGAUAUCAGGAGGAACACCGGCGGCGAAGGCGGCCUGCUGGACCGCGACUGACGUUGAGGCUCGAAAGCGUGGGGAGCGAACAGGAUUAGAUACCCGCGUAACC
rnacentral:rRNA from 1 species